rnacentral:lncRNA from 10 species
GUGGGGGUCGUGGUGGUGGAGGUUAUGAAGGUAGAGGUGGUGGUAGUGGUGGUGGUGGAGGUGGUGGGGUAGCUGUGGGUGAUAGUGGAAGUUAUGAUCAUGGUGAUGGGUGAUGGUGGUAGUGGUAGAGAUGGUGGCAGUGGUGGUGUUGGUGGUACCUGAUGGUGGUGGUGGUAGAGGUGAGGCUAGUGGUGGUGGAGGUGGGCGAUGGUGGUGGUAGUGAAGGUGAUGGUGGUGCAGGUGGUGGAGGUGGUGGUGAUGGUGGGUGAUAGUGGUGUUGGUGAAGGUGGUGGUGGGUGACGGUGGUAA